rnacentral:rRNA from 1 species
CCACUCGCGUGGUAGCGGCCCCGGUGGAUGCCCUGGCAGUCAGAGGCGAUGAAGGACGUGCUAAUCUGCGAUAAGCGUCGGUAAGGUGAUAUGAACCGUUAUAACCGGCGAUUUCCGAAUGGGGAAACCCAGUGUGUUUCGACACACUAUCAUUAACUGAAUCCAUAGGUUAAUGAGGCGAACCGGGGGAACUGAAACAUCUAAGUACCCCGAGGAAAAGAAAUCAACCGAGAUUCCCCCAGUAGCGGCGAGCGAACGGGGAGCAGCCCAGAGCCUGAAUCAGUGUGUGUGUUAGUGGAAGCGUCUGGAAAGGCGCGCGAUACAGGGUGACAGCCCCGUACACAAAAAUGCACAUGCUGUGAGCUCGAUGAGUAGGGCGGGACACGUGGUAUCCUGUCUGAAUAUGGGGGGACCAUCCUCCAAGGCUAAAUACUCCUGACUGACCGAUAGUGAACCAGUACCGUGAGGGAAAGGCGAAAAGAACCCCGGCGAGGGGAGUGAAAAAGAACCUGAAACCGUGUACGUACAAGCAGUGGGAGCACGCUUAGGCGUGUGACUGCGUACCUUUUGUAUAAUGGGUCAGCGACUUAUAUUCUGUAGCAAGGUUAACCGAAUAGGGGAGCCGAAGGGAAACCGAGUCUUAACUGGGCGUUAAGUUGCAGGGUAUAGACCCGAAACCCGGUGAUCUAGCCAUGGGCAGGUUGAAGGUUGGGUAACACUAACUGGAGGACCGAACCGACUAAUCUUGAAAAAUUAGCGGAUGACUUGUGGCUGGGGGUGAAAGGCCAAUCAAACCGGGAGAUAGCUGGUUCUCCCCGAAAGCUAUUUAGGUAGCGCCUCGUGAAUUCAUCUCCGGGGGUAGAGCACUGUUUCGGCAAGGGGGUCAUCCCGACUUACCAACCCGAUGCAAACUGCGAAUACCGGAGAAUGUUAUCACGGGAGACACACGGCGGGUGCUAACGUCCGUCGUGAAGAGGGAAACAACCCAGACCGCCAGCUAAGGUCCCAAAGUCAUGGUUAAGUGGGAAACGAUGUGGGAAGGCCCAGACAGCCAGGAUGUUGGCUUAGAAGCAGCCAUCAUUUAAAGAAAGCGUAAUAGCUCACUGGUCGAGUCGGCCUGCGCGGAAGAUGUAACGGGGCUAAACCAUGCACCGAAGCUGCGGCAGCGACGCUUAUGCGUUGUUGGGUAGGGGAGCGUUCUGUAAGCCUGCGAAGGUGUGCUGUGAGGCAUGCUGGAGGUAUCAGAAGUGCGAAUGCUGACAUAAGUAACGAUAAAGCGGGUGAAAAGCCCGCUCGCCGGAAGACCAAGGGUUCCUGUCCAACGUUAAUCGGGGCAGGGUGAGUCGACCCCUAAGGCGAGGCCGAAAGGCGUAGUCGAUGGGAAACAGGUUAAUAUUCCUGUACUUGGUGUUACUGCGAAGGGGGGACGGAGAAGGCUAUGUUGGCCGGGCGACGGUUGUCCCGGUUUAAGCGUGUAGGCUGGUUUUCCAGGCAAAUCCGGAAAAUCAAGGCUGAGGCGUGAUGACGAGGCACUACGGUGCUGAAGCAACAAAUGCCCUGCUUCCAGGAAAAGCCUCUAAGCAUCAGGUAACAUCAAAUCGUACCCCAAACCGACACAGGUGGUCAGGUAGAGAAUACCAAGGCGCUUGAGAGAACUCGGGUGAAGGAACUAGGCAAAAUGGUGCCGUAACUUCGGGAGAAGGCACGCUGAUAUGUAGGUGA